UUCCUGAAGUUUAGUCGAAAUCUCCUUUCCUGUAACUUGAAUUCAUUGCUCCUAGCCUCCAGAGCAAGAGAAAACAAGCUUGCUCCAUCUUCCACAUGACAGCCCUUUAAAUAUUUGAAGAUGGCUAUCAUAUCUCCUCUCUGUCUCCUCUUUUCUAGGCUAAACAUCCCCAACUCCCUCAACC